ensembl:lncRNA
CCUCUGCUUCCUUCUCCUGGUGCCAGACAGGCAGACUUUGCAAUGCCACUGUGUGUGACUACCUUGAGCAGCAGUUUGAGGGACUUUGCAGGGAAAAUGCAAUGCAGUGAGGCGUAGAGGAUUGACUGCAGCAAGACGACCCUCAGUGGAAUAGCACAGAUGGGUGUGGUGCUCCUCCUUUGGUGGUCCACCUUCCCUGUGGCCGACAUGUUUGCUGUAUGGACAGUGGAGAGGACACAGAUGUCUCGCUUUUCAUGCCACUUUACUGUCAGCUGUUGGCUGUUCUAUUUGAACCUUCCCUCUCUGCAUCUUCCUGCCUCCGAAUGCUAACAUCCCCUUCCUGUUCAACCUGACUGUGACACAAGCCCUGUGUUGUUGGAGAGGAGAUGCUGGAAGAGUGUGGGACUGCUGUACCAAUUGUCCACAUACAAAGUGUGUCCCUUGCCGAGAUGAGGAGCCAGCAUGGUCAUCACCAAGGACCCAAACACCCCAAGCGCCUCAUAAUGUUGGAUGUCAGUGGUGGACCCUGUGUAAACUAUAAUGUCCUGGAGAAUUCCUGUCUUUAUGUAACACAUGAAAAACAACUUGACCCCAAACCUGUGCCUUUUGGAUGGAAUACAUUGACAGAGCGCUAGCUUUCCAUAUCAUCAGGGAUUCAUCAAUGCAUAGGUCCUUGUAUGGCACAAAGACCCAACCAAAUGCUGAUGUCAGGCUGCGAGUUUCCCCCCACUCUUGGCUCUCUCUUCUCCUGCGCUAAGGCAUAGUGAUUGGUCUCCUCUACUAUGUCACCCACCAGCUCCUCAGAAAUAGCUUGAAGCACUCUGCCUCAGAUGGAAUUGGUGAGGGGCUUUGCGCUCAAGACUGGGAUUCAUCAAAGCAAACAGCAGGGCCAGGAGGGGUGAAAUGGCUGGCGGCCUUCCAGCUACCACAGAACUCCUGUACUUCAUCCACUGUGAGUCUGACUCUAUCACCACCAGCAUCUUCAAAGGGACCAAGGGGUCCUCAGAUUCAGGGUUCUCAAUGUCUACAAGGUUGUGGGGGCAGCUCCUCACUGUCACUGUCAGAAUCCGAUUCCUGACUUUCAUACUUUCAUACAGACUCAUUGUCAGGGUUGAUAAAAAUCUCCAUAAUUUCCGCAUUUGAAAGUAAUUGCUAAUGCUACAGCUUAGCUCACUAGCUACAUACAUAAAUAACAACACUGAAUGGCUCAGAGUGAGGUUACGUGAUUGACUGCUGGCACGCGCCACUUGUAUCAAUAAAU